AUAAUUCUUCGGGGCGGGGUGUGAUUCCCCACCGGCGGUGAUGCAGCAGAUGCUGUUAGCCCGCGAGCGGUCGUCAAACCGCAAGAUUCUGGUGAGAUUCCGGAGCCGACGGUAUAGUCCGGAUGGUAGAAGAUAUGG
rnacentral:ncRNA from 2 species